rnacentral:rRNA from 1 species
AGAGUUUGAUCUGGCUCAGAACGAACGCUGGCGGCAGGCUUAACACAUGCAAGUCGAACGCGUGUAGCAAUACACGAGUGGCGCACGGGUGAGUAACGCGUGGAUAUCUGCCUUUUGGUUCGGAAUAACCCCGGGAAACUGGGGCUAAUACCGGAUGGUUCCUACGGGAUAAAGAUUUAUCGCCAAAAGAUGAGUCCGCGUACGAUUAGCUAGUUGGUGAGGUAAUGGCUCACCAAGGCGACGAUCGUUAGCUGGUCUGAGAGGACGAUCAGCCACACUGGGACUGAGACACGGCCCAGACUCCUACGGGAGGCAGCAGUGGGGAAUAUUGGACAAUGGGGGCAACCCUGAUCCAGCCAUGCCGCGUGAGUGAUGAAGGCCUUCGGGUUGUAAAGCUCUUUUGGCGGGGACGAUGAUGACGGUACCCGCAGAAUAAGCCCCGGCUAACUUCGUGCCAGCAGCCGCGGUAAGACGAAGGGGGCUAGCGUUGUUCGGAAUUACUGGGCGUAAAGCGUGUGUAGGUGGUUGUCAUAGUCAGGUGUGAAAGCCUUGAGCUCAACUCAAGAAAUGCACUUGAUACUGGGCGACUAGAGGACCGGAGAGGAUAGUGGAAUUCCCAGUGUAGUGGUGAAAUACGUAGAGAUUGGGAAGAACACCAGUGGCGAAGGCGGCUAUCUGGACGGUUUCUGACACUAAGACACGAAAGCGUGGGGAGCAAACAGGAUUAGAUACCCUAGUAGUCC